UCAUCGUUUGCAUUGUGAUAGAAAGCUUUUGAAAGGGGUUUCUCAAUAUAAAUCGUCAACCUUCAUUACCACGUGUGUACCGGCCACGCGGAUGGCCAGCCUUAGCCUAGUGUUAACUAAACGUAGUCGUUGAGAUUUUAAAUUAGCGUUUGCUAUUUACGUACUGUAACGUUGUGGUUUAAAUUGUUGAAGGUUUGAUGUGUUUUUCAUAUGAGUCAACUUUGUUUUGCCGUCUUUUCUAACCUAGGUAUAAUCGUUAGUACUGAUUGCUAUUCCGCUAUGACUGACUUUAGCAGCUGACUCAUUGCAAUGUUUAACACUACUUGGGGUGUAAAGUGACCAUGCAAAUACUAAAUACAACAGUUAAUGUGAUCUAGGGGCUGCUACCCAUGCAUCUUUAUGAUGAAAAUUAUGUUGGUAGGGACAUCUGAUUAAAAUUGAUGAAUGCCAACUUUUCUGACUAGCGUGGGCCUCAAUAGCUACUAGCGUGCUUCAAUAGCUGUCUAAAACCGUUAGCUUUUGGCUAACGACCUGAUCUGUCUCUCUUUCCCUUACAGAGUCCAAACGAUACAUCGGCCUGAUUGACUAGACUGCUGCCUGGCUACAAUUCGUCAUGGAUCAUCCACAUACAGGUGAAGCCUCUGCAUCUUUUGUCCCACUGGUGCUGAUUAGGGGAAUAAUGCUUACCUUGAAUGGUUGAGCACUUGCAACAUUGCAGCUCAUCUGAACCAGUGGUGCAGGCUCAAUGUCUACAUUUGGAUGCUUGUGGCAGAUCCCUUGCUGAAUCCAUGUUAAUGGCCUUGGUGAAGGACCUCAUGGAAUGGCGAGAGGGUGUGGGGCAUGUCUACCCUGAGUUGCAUGACUAGAACCACAGGCCUUGGUGAAGGACUUAUUGGAAUGGCGAGGGGGGGCCCCCAUGUCUGCCCUGAGUUGCAUGGAACCACAGCCCAGCCAUGUUCCUGUACCAUCUGCCCGUAAGGGCAUCGAAGACUGAGUUAGCCCAGCUUGUGUUCUGAGAGGGUGCCGCCUAAAACCUUGUGUCCAGUUGUCGACCUUGUUGGAUUUUGCAGUAUCCUAGUGACUGCAGAAGACUAAACCAACUGAAGGUCUGGCUACGUUACCUUGACAAUGGUUCUCCAUCUUGCUACAGUAUCCUGGAGGCUUCAGAAGAUGGGCCAACUGAAGGUGUGACCUCCAUGCAAAUCGAUGGCUGAGGAGGAUUAAGCGGGGCGGCGUUGGCAAAGGAGGUAGUCGUCCAGCAACUGGAACGCCAGUUGGAGCCCAACUCUUCCUGACCCUUUUCAAAGUCCUUGAGCAAGAAUCUUAACCCCAGUGUUCCUGAUGAGCAGUUAGGCACUUUGCAUGGCAGCCAAUGGUGAUUGAGGCAUGAUGUAAAGCAGAGUGCUUGCAGGAGCUGAAAAAAGCAACAUAAAUGCUGUAUUUGCCAUUUGGUGCAUGAGUUUCAAACGUGUUCAAAUAUUUUUCUGAAUAAAAGCUUUUGAACUCA